rnacentral:rRNA from 1 species
AUUGAACGCUGGCGGCAUGAUUUACACAUGCAAGUCGAACGGUAACAGGCCGCAAGGUGCUGACGAGUGGCGAACGGGUGAGUAAUGCAUCGGAACGUGCCCAGUCGUGGGGGAUAACUACUCGAAAGAGUAGCUAAUACCGCAUACGAUCUAUGGAUGAAAGCGGGGGACCGUAAGGCCUCGCGCGAUUGGAGCGGCCGAUGUCAGAUUAGGUAGUUGGUGGGGUAAAGGCUCACCAAGCCAAUGAUCUGUAGCUGGUCUGAGAGGACGACCAGCCACACUGGGACUGAGACACGGCCCAGACUCCUACGGGAGGCAGCAGUGGGGAAUUUUGGACAAUGGGCGCAAGCCUGAUCCAGCAAUGCCGCGUGCAGGAAGAAGGCCUUCGGGUUGUAAACUGCUUUUGUACGGAACGAAACGGCUCUGGUUAAUACCCGGGGCUAAUGACGGUACCGUAAGAAUAAGCACCGGCUAACUACGUG